AAUUGGCACUGCUUCUGUUUUGCUAUAAAAAGCUGUGUAUAGUCCAUAUUCCAUAUUAUCUUUUAAGCCAUGGGCUCCAAACUUGAAAGCUUUGGAUUGUAAGAGAAGAGACACGGCAUGUGCAAGAUUGAUAGUGUUCAUCAUGCGCAUGGGUCAUUGCGUCAAGAUUUGGACUCUGGUGGUAGAGGUAUAUAUCCAGUAGUAGUGGGGUUGGGGUGGCAGAUGCUGCCUCUUCUUCUCUCUUCCACUCUCCAGCAAUAUUACCUUCUCUCUUUCUUUUCAUAUACCCAGUCACCAAUCAAAUCAUAUCAAAUAUGUGUUCAUUAUUGAUACAAUGGAGAGUCCCACAACUGGAAAGUGUUCCCACCCAAUCAACACUAUGGUCCUUUUUUUCCUUUUUUAUUGUGUUUUUGAUGUUCAUGAUUUGUGAAUAUUACAU
rnacentral:misc_RNA from 1 species